rnacentral:rRNA from 1 species
CAAUAGCGUAUAUUUAAGUUGCUGCAGUUAAAAAGCUCGUAGUUGGAUUUCGGGUGGGAAUGGCCGGUCCGCCGUUUCGGUGUGCACUUGCUACGCCCACCUUGCUGCCGGGGACGUGCUCUUGAGUUCACGCUCGGGACACGGAGUCGGCGAGGUUACUUUGAGUAAAUUAGAGUGUUCGAAGCAGGCCUACGCUCUGAAUACAUUAGCAUGGAAUAACACGAUAGGACUCUGGCCUAUCUUGUUGGUCUGUAGGACCGGAGUAAUGAUUAAGAGGGACAGUCGGGGGCAUUCGUAUUUCAUUGUCAGAGGUGAAAUUCUUGGAUUUAUGAAAGACGAACUACUGCGAAAGCAUUUGCAAAGGAUGUUUUCAUUAA